rnacentral:lncRNA from 1 species
UCGACUAUGGCGAGAGUGAGCCUGGGCUCAGAGCCAGCCAUUCUGUUUCCUCUCAGUGUUGAGAAGUAGCAUUAUCUGGGUUCAGUGUGUAGCUGACAACUUUUCCACGAAUCUCUAAGGGCACACGGACUGUCCUGUGACGGGGUGUAGCCCAGGGUUUAUGCUAUGUAGCCCUGGAUGUCCUCGGACUCACUCUAUAGGCCAAGAUGGCUUCAAACUCAAGAGGCUCAUCUGCCUCCACAUCGUGGAGUGCUGAGAUUAUAGGUGUGUGCCAUCACUGUAUUGCAAUUUUUUAAAAAAUAUAUUUGCAUGUAUGAGUGUCCUGCCUGUAUAUAUGCAUGUUUACCAUAUGCUUGCCUGGUGCCUUCAGAGGUUGGAAGAGGGCAUAAGAUCCCCCAAGGACUGGAGUAACAGAUGUGUGAAGUGGAAACUUAAGAGUACUUUGGAAAAGUCAGUUGUGUUGGAUGGUGUUUUGCUAGGGCAAACACUUGAAGGAGUGUUUUUCUGAAGUGGACACAGGUGAAAGGAUGUUCUGCUAAAGCAAGCACGUAAAAGGACACAUGAUGAAGGAUUCUUUGAUAACAACACACAUGUGUUGGUUUGUCUUAAAUUUCGUAGUUGAGCUCCAUUUGUUGGAACUCCAUAGAGAGAAACACACCAACCAACCAACCAACCAACCAACAAACAAACAAAAAAAACUUCUGGUCACCGAUGUGGCUUCUUGCUGCUUCCUUGGACUUAGGCUGAUUGGCAGAGUUAUGUCAGCUGUGACAGACUCAUGUGCUGAGGCAAGGCCCCAUGGAGGACACAUGAUGUUUGGAAGGAGUAUAAAAAGGACUUGAUGGACAGUGAUGGAGGUUGAGCUUGGCUUGCUGGUACAGCUAUCUGUGCAAUGGUUGUUGGUCUCCAGUCUUCACUGAUCUUCACUUUGCUGAGAGAGGCACAGCCGAGAACCUUUCCUGGCUUCCCUCCCUGGUCUCUCCUGCUGACUUGUGCUGAGGUCAAGGUCUGGCUGUUUCUGCUAUGUCGUGCCACCGCCCCUGAUUCGUGGUGUAUCCCUGAAGUGUCUGUGAGUGGAUCAAGCUGCCACUGACUCCUGUGAACUGAACUGCUGAUUUCCUGAUAACACAGAUGGCAUUUGCUCCAAAGAACCCUUUUCUAAACAGGCCCACUUCCCCCUACCCUUUCUUUCCCACUACCUCUGGUGGUUGGUGGGCUGAAAGGGAGGUUCAAGCAUUUAAGAACCAUCCUUAAAAAAUAACGUUUGAAAAAAAUUAAAGUUACAGUUGUGAGCUGCACGUGUUCUGGAAAUCAAACCUGGAUUCUCUGCAAGAGCAACAAGCGAUCUCAACCUAGAAGUGAGCUCCCAUUUUUUUUAAAAAUAAUUAUACUGAUUCUUUGUGAUUUUCACAUCACGUACCCCAGUCUUGCUCAUCUC